AGCAUCGCGUCCGGCGCUAGAAGUCCACGUCCACGGAAGGAUGCCGCUGCUGGAGGCCAGCCCUUGGAGCCAGUCGGGGGAAGCGGCAUGGAGGGGAGGGCUGCUGAGCCUUGGGACCUGGAGUUCGGGAUUCCGGGGGCGGCCGGAUGUGGACUGCACUUGAGGACGGCUCGCUGCAGUCUCGCCAAGCCGACUGCGGAUCUGCCAUCCGCCAGAAGCUCAGAAAGCUCCUGGCAUUGUGCCCCUUGCCAACCCUGGUCUGCCCCUGAUAUCACAGAACCACUAAAUCUGACUUCAGGUUUGAAACGAAUGGAGGGUGUGCAGACCCUCAGCAGUUCUCAGACCCAGGCUGUCCUCAGACCCAGGCAGAAGGGAAUGCAGGGUCUGGCCAAGGAGGAUGGGAUUCUGGACUCAGAUUCCAGGAACGCCUUGAGGCUUUUGGAAGGGGUUGAAGGUGGCCUGCUAGCUUUCUUACAGACAACUCUGAUCACAUCUGUCCACCCAGAAGAAUGCACACCCCUUUUUCAGUCUUCCUAAGGGAGUUUUGAGGGAUUAUUCCUGAUUCGGCUGCCACAGGUGGGGGAGAGGGAGGUAUGAAUUAAAAGGCCACAUCACUAAUGCCUGUCCCUGCAGUGUUUUGGAGUGCUGUGUGUGUGUGUGUAGGAGGAAAGUUUCAGAACCGCUAGGGAUUCAUUCACAUCUAGGGAUAUUGUCCUGCUCAAAUCUGGCCAUCUCUUGUUCUCAGAAUUGUGUGAGUCAUGGUCCCUGUUUUUCUGGUGGCCUGUUUCAAUGAUGCAGAAAAGGAGACACCUUCCAGGACCCAAAGAACCCCAGUUCCUCAGUAUUAGCCCUAGGCCUCUCUCCUCUGGGACCUGGGCAUCAAGCCCCAAGGGGUAGGGAGAGAAAGUGUAGGAGGAAGCAAGUGAAGUGUGCAACUCCGGAACUACAUUUCCCAUAGAGCCAUCGGACUGGCCGGGCGAGACCCCAGGGCCUCCUGGGAGUCGUAGUCCUAGGGCUAGAAAGGGCCCCUUUCUUCAUUUUCGUGGCUCCACGCCAGGUUUGCAAAAGGCCAAGUGCACCUAGCCGGAAGCCUGGGUCCGGGGGCUCAGGGAGGGGAGGAAGCUGAAAGCCAGAAGUCCUUUCCUUGGUUUUAGAAGCCGGAGGGGACAAGAUACUUUCCUUUCGGGUAGGCGCGGGGAAAAUUCUAGUUUGAAAAGGCGGCCGCCUCUGUGAUAUCAUGGAACGAUAGGCGGAGUCUCCCUUUGUUGCGGUCUUCUCAGACUCCGCGUUGGGCUUGUGGGCGGGGCCGAGAAAACUCCCUGGGAGUAUCUUUUGGGGAAUUGGGCCCAUGUGAGAAGCUAGAAAGGGGAAGCUGUGGAAAUUCCUCGUAGACCGGGGCGAACCGUGACCGUGACUCCAGUCAAAAAGCUCUCCAAAUCACGGGACCGACCUCACCCUCGCCCCCAAACAAAAUCCUUAAUUUUAGUCGUGGGAAAAUAGCAGAGUGGAACGACGUGGCCUGCUCAUCCUGCCUAAA
rnacentral:lncRNA from 1 species